rnacentral:rRNA from 1 species
AGGGGUGGGUAAGGACAGUGCCAGCCGCCGCGGUAAUACCGGCGCCUCAAGUGGUAGUCGCUUUUAUUGGGCCUAAAACGUCCGUAGCCGGUCUGGUGCAUUCGUGGGUAAAUCAACCCGCUCAACGGGUUGAAUUCUGCGAGCACGGCCAGACUUGGGACCGGGAGAGGUGUGGGGUACUCUCAGGGUAGGGGUAAAAUCCUGUCAUCCUGAGAGGACCACCUGUUGCGAAGGCGCCACACUAGAACGGAUCCGACGGUCAGGGACGAAACCUAGGGGCACGAACCGGAUUAGAUACCCGGGUAGUCCUAGGUGUAAACGCUGUGGACUUGAUGUUGGGGGCGCUCCGAGCGCUCUCAGUGUCGAAGCGAAGGUGAUAAGUCCACUGCCUGGGGAGUACGGUCGCAAGGCUGAAACUUAAAGGAAUUGGCGGGGGAGCACUGCAACCUGAGGAUUGUGCGGUUUAAUUGGAUUCAACGCCGGAAAACUCACCAUGGCCGACGGACAAAU